AUGGCUCCCUAUGCUCAUAAAAAGCAGCCCAGCCCUGACCCUGCAGCUCUGGGACAGGAGCCCAGCCCUGGGAUCCCCAGGUGUUCCCAUUCCCAGAUCAGGACUGAACACAGACCACUCACCAUGGGGUUUGGGCUCAUUUCCUUGCGGCUCUUUUAAGAGGUGUCCAGUGUGAAGUGCAGCUGGUGGAGUCUGGGGGAGGCUUGGUGCAGCCUGAGGGGUCUCUUAGGCUCAUCUGUACAGCCUCUGGAUUCACCUUCAGUAGUUACCAUAUGACCUGGGUUGGCCAGGCUCCAGGGAAGGGGCUGGAGUGGGUGGCAAUUAUAUGGAAUGAUGGAAGUCAGAAAUACUAUGCAGACUCUGUGAAAGGCCGCUUCACCAUCUCCAGAGACAAUGCCAAGAACACGCUGUAUCUUCAAAUGAACAGCCUGAAAGCCGAGGACACAGCCGUGUAUUACUGUGCAAGAUACACAGUAAGGGGAAGUCAGUCUCAGGUCCCAGCCAGCCAGCACCAGGAGACCUGUGUGCUGGACAGUGGAAACCAGAGGAGUGUGACUCCAAAGCUAGAGAAGAAGGACCCUGGUGGUGAAAUUCAUUCACUUGUCAUCACUCUCAUAGCACCAAUAGCUGGUGAUGCCAUCAGGAGGAAGUAG